UGAAGAGUUCAAUGGCUGUAGAACAGCAUUUUUUUUUUAUUUUACAUUUUUAUUCCACCUCCCUAGAUUAGGGUAUAGAUCAACUAGAUCAUAUUUGUAAGUAUAUGUAUAAUAGGCUGAAUCUUACAUCAACUAGAUCAUAGUUUGGAUCUUGAAUUUCGAAGAACAAGAAAUUAUACUUAGUAACUUCACAACGGUAAAGUUUGCUUUAACCAACUGAAAAUAUAGUGUGUUUGUCGCAAGCCUUUGGUGGUUCUUGUUUAUGUGCAGCGAGAAAGAAGUCCAAAGUGAAGAGAUAUAGGCAUCCAUUUGCAGAACGAAUAAAGCAGAAGGAAAACAGGGAAUGUAGGUAUCUGCAAAUUACAUUCAUGGAGGAUAGAGGCGCUUUUCCCACUGCUUGGCUUGUCUGGGACACCCAACUCAAGAAAUAUGUGGCCAAGGUGAGAUAACAAGGAGCAAAGAUUAGAACCCUGAAAGUAAUAGCACAGGCUGCUCCAGAGGACAAAGAAUGUGUGGUUAAAUUGCCCGAUGAUUUCACACAAAGUUUGGUUUGGGUAAUAAUGUUCGACUCCCGGUAAAGUUUGAAGGCGACGAUGGAUGAAGAUUUGGAUUCAGUUGGUAGCACUAGCAAUGAAGAUGAUCAGCCUAAAGAUUUGGAUUGCCUCCAUGUAAGGUUGGAAAAGAGGGCCCUCUUAUUUGUAAAUGGCUGUCCAUGGGAAGAGAAGGUCCACUUAUUCCUGAAUUGCUAACAAGAGAUGCUCCUCCUCCUCUUUGUAGAUUGUUGUUCGCUUGGUAAGGAAGAGAUGGAUGUCUCCCUCGUAUGAUGAUUAGGGCGAGAUGGGUAUCUCUCCCUCAUUUGAUAAUUGAUAUGAUCUUGCUGUUGCUGGUUCAAAUAUGAUGUGGGUAUAGAUGGUCCAACUCCUAAAAUUCCUCCACCUACAUUCUGGUUUGAAUAUGUUGAGAUUGAAGAUGGACUGCCAGCUUUAGCAACAGUUUUUCAGUGUGGAUCCUUCUCAGCAAGCAAUUCAUCACUCCUGGCCUCGCCUUCUUCAACGGUCAGCAUCAUCAUCCGCAGCCCAAACCCAGGAAAGUGAUGAGGUUAUUCCAGAAGAGAAGGCAACAUUUAAGCCAGAAAGAAUGUGAAAGCGUAAAGAAAAUGUUGCCAAUCUGUCAAAGUGAUGUGCAGUUGUAUGUGAAUCUGGAUAAAUCAAGAAUGGUGUAAGAAUCUGCCAUGAUUACUAUCUGUGCCCGGUUUUUAGUGAAAUUUUUGUCAUACAAGAGGAACUAGAGUUAUGAACAAAGCUUCUUGGAUUACUGUAGCAAGCUCAUCCUCUGCAUCAAAUAUUUGCAAGACAGGAAAUCAGCAGGUAAGAUUUAAACAGAAGGGAAAAUCAGUGGCUCAAAAUUUUGGGAGUGCAGCAAAUGAUGAAGAGGAGAAGUUGGAUCUAGAAGCUUAAGUUGAGAAAACAAAGGCAUCAGGAUUAACCCAGGAUUAACAGUCCUUCUAAGAAGCAGAAUUCAAUGGCAUCCCUUGAUCUUAAGUGCAAGAUAGCUGAUCAGGGUAAUGCCCUCCGGAUCCUGAAUCAAUUAAUGGGUUCAAAGAGUCUUCCGUGAUCUCCAUUCUGUACUCCAGCAGAUAUAUGGUUUGUUGCAUGCAUUGCCUUUGAACUUGCCACAGGUGAUUUCUUGUUUAAUCCUCAGGGGAAGAACAGUCAAGACAGGUGAUUUCUUGUUUAAUCCUCUAUGUGAUGCCCAAGAGAGUUGCUCUGCGUGUCAAGCAUUCUAAAUAUAUAGGAAGUUACAAUUUCAGUCAAUGAUCAAUGUGCUCCGAGAUCAAUUUGGGUUUGUCAAAAAGGAUGCAGAUGAUUUCAGCAAAUUUCAUGUUCCUCUCUUAGAUUUUGUAUCAAAAAAACGCCCACUGCAAUGCAAGCCAAUCUUCACCCCUAGGUUGGUGGUGGUCUUCUUCAACUAUCAUCAUCUGCAGCCCAAACCCAGCAAAGUGAUGAGGUUAUUCCCAAAGAGAAGACACCAGUUUAGUGAGAAAGAAUAUGAAAGCAUGAAGAAUGUCAACCUGUCAAAGUGACGUGCAAUGAAUAAAUCAAGAAAUGGUGUAAGAAUAUGUGAAGCAAGAAGCCAUGAUUCCUAUUUGUGCCCUGUUUUCAGUGAAAUUUCUGUCAUACAAGAGAAAAUGUAGCAACGUAUGAGAAUCUGUGGAUGAAAAUAUGAUUUUAAAUGUAGAAGCAUUUCCCCACGUUGUAAACUUCAGUCAUGCACAGAGAUUUUCAAUAUUAAAUAUUUUUUUCAAUGUUA